GGGCGGCCCUAGUUCUUCAAAACCAGAGAAAGACAAGCUGCCAAUUGAACAAGAGUUAACUGAUGACAAGAAAAAGUCUACCAGAAGCAGACGAAGGAAGCGCCGUAAUGAGGAUCUGAAGAUGUCUGCUGAUCGACUAGGAGCAUAUGGAAAGCUAAAUUCGAAGCGUCACAAGAGCCAUUGAGCUUUGGAGAUUCAUCAAAGUACAUCUAGGGAAUUUUGCUUCUCUUUUUAUGCAUUUUGGAGGGAGUGAAAUCUCAAUUAACGAGAGUCUUUGCUUCUACUUUGGGAGUUGCAAACUAGUGUAAUCCUCGUAGUCAUUUCUCUGAGUUUGCAGACAGUGUUGUGCACCUCCUUUCCUGAACCAUAUAAUUUAAUUGCCUUGAAGUUUGCUGCUACUAUGUUUUGUGUUACUGUCAUUUCCUCUUCUAAUUUGCUUGAAUUGUCAAAUUAUCCCAGUGAUGAAUUGGCAGAUGAACUCAUAUAUGCCUGUUGAACUGGCCUCAUACUAAUGUUGUUAUUGUGAAAUUCUAAUGGCAUGGCGCCUUAUCUGUUCAUGCCCACCUGAUGCUCGCACGCUUUGUGUGCAUGCCAUUUAUGUCUCAAUCUGAAUAUGUCAUGUUAAUUGAUAUAUCCAGAUAGAACCUACGGUGGUCCAAGGUGCUGCAAUAGCAAACCACUGCGGUGGUCAUUGCUCCAUGCAGUCUAGAAAAGUCAGAUUCCUUUGUUGCUUUUGCUCUCCUCUGCAACUGAAAACAAGUGUGCUACCUGUGCUGCUCGAAGCCCCUACCGUGUUGUGCGCCAUGAUCCCACAAAUCUACCCCGAUUUGAUGCUCCUGAGUUGGUUGCCUCAUCCAUUUCUCUGAGGAAUUUUCCAAUUUCUGCACAAGCAGCAAGUUAUGCAUUCCAGCUACUGGUUGUUGAGAGCUCAAUCUGUAGGUGAGUUCCUGUUUUGUUUGGCUUUCUGUUGAGAUUCUUGAUAUUUCUGCAUGGCGAUGAAGCAUUUUUAUUUAGGUGCUUAUCAUUCUGAUGUUUCUUUUAAAUUGAACUACAUGCUGUCGAGAAUGUUAUUAAUGUCGGGUCAUUAUCUGCAGAAAUGGAUCACAUGGAUGAGCAUGAGUGCAUGACAGUGAUGACAUGAAAGUAGGGGCAGAUGGUGCCUCUAGAUUCAGAAAGAAGAGGUCUAAAGUGUGGGACAAGUGCAAGCCCAUCUUUGUAGAUGGAGUGAUUCGGAGUUUCACAGGUGCUCAUGGCGUCCAAUGGUACAAGCCAUUUGUGGCGAUACAAAAAAUUUGCUGAGCAAAAGAUAAAUUCUGUCCAAGCCCACUGCAACAGGAUGCAGAUUUGCCAUACGGUAUGCUUUAGCUACUGACUAGCUCUUAGGAGAGAUGCCAAAUUUUAUUCCAACCAACUUAUAUGUUUGUAUGACAAAUUAGCAUGGGUGCUUUAGGCCUUUAUCAUUAGUUUGUAUUACUAUCUGUGCUUAUCUGUUUGAUGAUAUUUGUUCAUUCAUCACGGAAACAUUUUUUCAUGGUGAUUACCAUUUGGAGGAUAAAUAAUUUUGUUACAUUUUUUACUUUUAGUUCUCUAACCCUACUUUGAUGUUGUGAAGUAUAUUGUGGUUAGUGUCUCCUUAAUAUCUUUGCAUGCCGGACUUAAAGAGAAACAUUGUGAAACAGAGGGACAUACAAUAGAUUCUAUACACCUCAUUGAUCACUUAUUUUGCUUUUAUUGCAUAAAUUUCGUAGUUUGCUAGUUUGUGAGUUGUAUAAAGCUAUGCUCCUGCUUUUUUGUUCAUGCAAAAUUGUAUGUCUUCAAUAUUUUGUGCAUAUUUUGAAGGGAGAGACAUACUCAAACUUGUCCAGCAUGAAGUGGAAAUAUCACAAGUCGUCAGAAGGGUGUGCUGUUCCAGUGCAGUAUAUCAAAUUUUAAAUCCAGGCUUCAAGGUGAGCAUUCACCUGCCUUCACAAAUGGUAAGGUUCAGAUUGCAGAGUAUGCCAGGAAAGUUCCUCAAGGGCAGCUCUGAUGAUAACAGCCCUGUGGAAUGUCACAUUCUAGCUUUACCAGUGAUGGAUGAGAUGAAUUCCACAGAACAAUAUACCUCCAGCUCAGAUUGCUCCGGACAUAAGCUGGGAAUUUGACCAAGAAGCAUCUUAGCAUCUUAUCAAGAGUUAACUACAUGAUUAUUUCACAUGUCUAUCCCUUGUUAAUAGUUGAGCAUGAAUAAAAAUGACAAAGUUUGCAAAGAGAAUCCUGCAUUUAAUAUCGGUUGAAGCAUUUAUAUAGAAGAGUACUCAAUUCUUCUAUUUCAGAAUGAAAAGGUUGACCUUAAGUGAAAAAUUGCACUUUUAUCCCAUCAGAAUCAGAUUUCCUUAUCAGCAAGUGUGUGAGCUCCUCGUGGAGCUGAGGCCUUAGUGUGGUAUCUCCAUGCUGUCUAGAAAGUCAGAUUCCUUUGUUGCUGGAGCUCUCCCCUGCAACUGAAAAGAGGAGAGCCCCAUGGAAGUCCAAGCUGAGUGACAGCAGGUGACGGUCUAGAGCUCGGUUUGCUGCAAUCGGGUGGAGUACUGGAGUGUCUUGAACAGCUCCAACACAGCUUUACAUCCGGCAUUAGGUUUUCUGUUUCCCUGCUUUCAAAACAAUAGGUUUGAUAGUGAGCUUGCCUGAGACCUUCAGAUAUCUCACACAGACCAAAUUGAGCCAUUUAUGCAGCAACUUUUGUAACUGUCCUUGAGUUCCAAUAAGGAAAAAUAAUAUUAAUUUAUCCAUACAUCUGACGUUGACAGCUUAGAGCUUUGGGCUCCUUACAAAAAAUAAAAGGAACUCUGCGUGUUUGUGAUGCUGUCUGGUACACUGGAAUUUUACACUGAUGCAAGACAAGCCACAAAAAUGAACAAAAUUUUGCCUCACUAAGUGAAGACCGAUUCAAAGAAGCUCCUGAGCAGUAGCAACCAGGUCAACAAAAACCAUUGUGGCCUGACAUCCACUUCCAAUCACCCCAUUUGUAUAUUCUUGUCAUUUUGCCAUUAGCACAAAACAAAUGCUCAAUGGGUUUAUUCCAUCGUGUUGGUAGUUGCACAUGUCCCUUUCUUCUAUCGUCACCAUCUUCAGCACCCCACGUUACUCUAUUUAUAUGCCCUCUCCCAUCUCAGUUUGCUCCUACAUUGAUCAUAGUCAAGCUGCUUAUAUGAUAUGGUACAUCCCUUUCUACUGCCAACUGCUGCUCCUAAUUUCUGUCCUGCUGUUUCCCUAUCUUCUUGUUCCCAGAGAAACAUACUGAUUGUUGCGCUCUAGUUUUUUCUUGUACGGAACACACUGAUUGUUGCUGGCUUGCUACCAAUUUUCCAGUUCUUGUGGCCACUCAAUCAGCAUCUGGUACUAGUAUUCAGUUCCUUGCAUAAACUUGCUGUGCAAUGUCCAAGACUGAGAGCAGAAAGCUGUCCGAUGACUAUGAAGUUGUGGAUGUCCUCGGCCGAGGUGGGUUCUCGAUAGUGAGAAGGGGAGUGAGCAAGUCAGAAGGGAAGACCCAGGUUGCCAUAAAGACCCUGCGAAGGCUUGGUCCGGCGAUGAUGGGGACGAAGCAAGGGUCAAAGGGUGGCCUCCCAAUGUGGAAGCAGGUAUCCAUCUCUGACGCGCUGCUCACCAACGAGAUUCUCAUCAUGAGGAGGAUAGUCGAGAACGUCGCGCCACACCCCAACGUUAUCGGCCUUCAUGAUGUGUAUGAGGAUGUGCAUGGAGUGCACCUGAUCCUCGAGCUGUGCUCAGGUGGUGAAUUGUUCGAUAGGAUAGUGGGGCGUGACCGGUACUCGGAAUUUGAUGCGGCAGCUGUAGUUCGUCAGAUUGCGAGAGGCUUGGAGGCUCUUCAUAAGGCAAACAUCAUACACAGGGACUUGAAGCCAGAGAAUUGCCUGUUCUCUGACAAAAAUGAGGAUUCCACAUUGAAGAUCAUGGAUUUUGGUUUGAGUUCUGUUGAAGAUUUCAGUGACCCGAUUGUGACUCUGUUUGGGUCGAUAGAUUAUGUUUCACCAGAAGCUCUCUCAAGGCAAGAUGUUUCAGCUGCAAGUGAUAUGUGGUCUGUUGGGGUAAUACUGUACAUCCUUUUAUCUGGGUAUGUUUGAUAACUCUUCAUUGUGAUUCCCUUGUUUAUUUUUUUGCUCAUAGUUUGAAGGAUUUUACUUUGUGUAUUUCAGAUGCCCACCAUUUCAUGCUGCAACUAAUCGAGAAAAGCAGCAAAGGAUCCUGCAAGUAAGUCAUUAUUGUAGCUAACCUCUGGACAUAAUGCUGUUAUAUUAUUUGAGUUUGGUGGUGUUAGGAACUCUCCAGUGAUUCAUAUUUUGAUGUAUUCACCUUUUGAGCAUUUCUACAACCUUCUCUGACAAUAUGGAACACGUUGGCUCAGUUGUAGUGGGAAUGGGAGUUCAAUCAAUUUCUCUAAAAAACACUUUCCAUUUUCUAACAAAACCAGAAUCAUUUGGCAUCACUAGUCACACGUCAUAUUCAUGGAUGCGAUGUAAUUUAGACUUACAUUCACUGCUGCCUCAAUAGACUAUCUUCUAUAUGCUCUUCCAACCUAAAUUACAUUUAGAAGAUGAGAUUACCUAGUAGGAACUAGGUAAUUUAGGCAUAGCUCUGAACCUUCUGUCAUCUGGUUUGGAGCAACUGUGCACAGCAUGGUAACAGUUCUGUCAAUCAGUGCUGAAUUGUCUUCUUCUGGUAGCUAUCGGCACCUGAAUUUUAAUUUGUCCUGUUUCGAUGGCUAAGUUUUCUUGAGGCAAAUGGGACUUGCUUUUUCCUGGGUGUAAAAUAUUUCUCCUGAGUACAAACUGACCGUUCCAAUCCAAUUGCUCAGAAAAAAAAACAAAACGUAAGUCGAGUCCAAGAGGUUAGACAAAACUGCGUCAAAAUCUUCUUAAAAUGGAACAGAGUUAAACAAAAAAAAAGAAUAUCUUUAAAUAAGAUGGGUUCUUGGUUGUUUGCUUGCUUCAUCAAAGAAGGUAUCAAUUAUUAAAUAUUCCUUACAUUUAAUUGGGAUGUCUUGCUCUAAUGUUGUGCGUUUACCAAUUUUUUUCAGGGAGAGUUUAGUUUUCAGGAUCACACGUGGAAAACAAUAUCUUCAUCAGCCAAAGAAUUGAUUUCCAGUCUUCUUUCUGUUGAACCUUACAAGAGGCCAACAGCAAGUGAUGUCCGUGCCAUGCCCCCCCUUUUCCCAUGAUGGACAUUCUGACUAGAUAUAACCGUACUGAACCAUGUAUCAUUUUGAACCAGCUUCUGAGGCAUCCUUGGGUGAUAGGAGAUUGUGCAAAGCAAGAUCUCAUGGAUGCGGAGGUCGUGUCAAAACUGCAGAGGUUCAAUGCUAGAAGGAAACUGCGGGCAGCCGCAAUAGCCAGCGUCCUUAGCAGCAAGGUGGCAUUGAGGACGAAAAGGCUGAGGAACCUUUUAGGAACCCAUGAUCUUAGCUCAGAGGAGCUAGACAAUCUGCGCGUUCAUUUUGCACGAAUGUGAGUAUAAGCAACUUGAAUCCCUUUUUUGGUUUUACUUGAAUUUCGAUUCUAGCAUUUCUCAUUUAGCAAUAAGAAGAGGUUGAAGACUGAGCUAUUCAAAAUGUGGCUUAUAUCCAUAUAUCCUCCAGAAUCAAUUUUAAGCGUAAAAGAAUCCAUACUUGGUAUGAAAAGUGCAUGGCAAUUAUUGACAAAUGCAGAAUUCGAGAAUCAUGAUGUUUACAUUUGGCGUGUCAUGUGUUAAGCAAACUGAUGUGGCAUUUUUCUUUUCUUCGCGUGAAAAUUUCAGUAGUUCCAAUACUUGGUAAAAAUCUGCAUAGCUCCGAAACCUUUUCAUAGGACACCUGAUGUGUUUUGUUGACUGUACUGAAGAAGAGAGCGAUCCUGGCGCAGAUGUGCGGAUGGAGAGAACGCCACGCUGGAAGAGUUUGAACAGGUCCUGAAGGCGAUGAAAAUGGACGCGCUGGUUCCGCUGGCGCCUCGCGUGUUCGACUUGUUCGACAACAACCGUGACGGCACCGUGGACAUGAGGGAGAUCCUCUGCGGGCUCUCCAGCCUCAGGAACUCCCGAGGCGACGAUGCUCUCCGGCUCUGCUUCCAGGUAACAUUGUGCUCGCAGUUGUUUUGUGAUGCCUCUGUGCAUUGCUGAUUCGUAACCUGGGGGGGGGGGGGGGGGGGGGGGCGCUGCUUUUAAUAUCUGAACAUGACAAUCUUUGGCCAAAACAAAAUAAAAAAUGUCUGAUCAUGAACACUUGAAAUAAUAUCUCAGAUGUACGACGCCGACCGGUCAGGCUGCAUCAGCAAGGACGAGCUGGCGUCGAUGCUACGAGUAAGGGGAUUCAGAAAAAAAAAAAGACAAAAUAUUUGCUUCACCUCUAUUAUAGAAACUGGUGUUUGUUCGAGCUUCGGUUAGAAACGCUGACGACGCAUCUACUGCUUUGCUUGUGACCCCAGGCGCUGCCGGAGGACUGCCUCCCCGGGGACAUCACGGAGCCGGGGAAGCUGGACGAGGUGUUCGACGAGAUGGACGCCAACGGCGACGGCAAGGUGACCUUCGACGAGUUCAAGGCGGCGAUGCAGAAGGACAGCUCCCUCCAGGACGUCGUCCUCUCCUCCCUGCGACCGGUGCAGUAGACAAAUCAUCAGGAUUCAUUAAAAUUAUUCAUGGAGAAUAAUAAGUACUUUUUGACGCUGCAUUAACUAUUCUGUCUGAAACUUCUGUAUCCCGGCCGGCCGUAUGCUGGAAACGCGUUCAGACUUGGUCCCAGAUGCCUUGCCGCGUUGGCAGCUGUAUUUUUGUUUUGUUUUGUUUUGUUUCUGAAUGAAGCCUGCCUGCGUCAUUUCGGUCACGUAUAAACAGUCAAAUACUGUGUGAUUGGUGAUGGUCCUUGGUCGUCGUCCAUCCCACUCCGGAGUCAACGGACGGCAGCUUUCUCUGGCCUGUCAAAGGUAGGUAGCCCACGGGCCUCCUCCUGGGCCGCGCAGAUCCCCAGACGAGUAGCUGAGCAGCCCAUGGAGUUUUUCGGAGAUCUGAUGAACGUGCUUGCUGACGACUGCGCUGGGAUGCAAUCCUUUUUGGUGGAUGGUCACUCAUCGUGAGGAUCUACGGUAUCAGGACAGGAGACGUGUGCGCCUUCAUCUUCGGCGAAGAGGGUGACUCUCUGUCAGUGAGGGUGCACGUCCUUAGAGCAGCUCCCACGGGAUAAAAAUGGGGGUGCAGUGCAACAAGUUUUUCAUCAGUCACAGUGCAUAUCUAGAUGCAUAUAAACAUCUAUGAACUAAAAAGUCAAAAUAACCUAUAAUUUGAAAUGGAGGAAGUACGAGCUGAACAUUUGAGAGUUUUGUGCUAUCUGAACAUUUGAUGAUGAGCAGGUGACGAAUUCUUGCUGUACCAGAUUUGAGUACUCGAUUGUCGGCAAGGUGCUGUUGUCCUGAUGAGCCAAAGCAUGUGUGUUUGGCCCAAAUGUUUGGGAGAUGCAGCCUCUUUUAAAAACUCCGAAUCUGAGCUGCCUGGGUGCUAGCUGGUCUCCAUCUUUCAGAAUGGAAAGCGAGUUGUCGCCUCCUUGUUUAGUUCACCCCCAACUUCCAACUUUGGCACUAUGCAAAAAGAAGAUUCCUCAUCACAUCAAACUUGCGGUACAUGCAUGGAGUACUAAAUGUAGACGAAAUUAAAAACUAAUUGCACAGUUUUGUUGUACUUUGCGAGACGAAUCUUUUGAGCCUAAUUAGUCAAUGUUUGGACAAUAAUUCAAAAAUACAAACGAAACGCUACAGUGUGCUACAGUGCUGUAACAGUAAUUUGGUACCUCCAAACUUUGGCAACUAAACAAGACCUCAGAACUGACAGAUCCGUUGCUUUUCUUUGCUUGUUAUCCCGGUGUUAAUUCUGGAGCUGCCGCGACUGUCCACAUACGCAUUGAUAUUCUGUUCACACUCUGUCCCGUUCUCUAUUCUCUGGUCACGAACCCUCGAUUAACGAUUCCUUCGAUCAGGCGCGUCGGUUGGCAAAAGCUGGGAUACAGAACAUGCAACCGUGUGAUUUCGAGUCCUCAUCGGUCAAAGCAACCAUGAAGAAGACACUAGCCACUUGCUAUCCUUCAUCACAUCAUUUAAGUACGGUUAGAGAAAUAAAAGUCAAAGAGUGUAACAAAAUUCUUGAUCCUUCAGGUGGUAAUCAUCAUGAGAAUGUUUCCGUGAUGAAUGAACAAAUACGGUCAAUUGGGUGGCGAGCUCGCGGGAAACAUCUUAGCAGCAGGUGUCUCCGUCCCCGUGCCCCCCUGUGGCCCCUCUUCCCAACUGAGAACAGCGGCGAUUCAUGAAUAUUCUUCAGAUGGCAACCAUUGCUUUCACAUCCUAGGAGCUACACAGAAGAAUAGCAUCUUGCAGGAUGCACAAGAAACCUAACGAAGCAGAAGCAAAAGUUCCAGGGAUUGGAAGCACGAGUAUUGAUUUUUUUUCCCCGACACAUCUAAAAGUGAAACUGUAGCAAUAAGCACUAUUUGACAUGCGUCCAACUGUUAUGUACAGAUGAGCGUGCCCCUUCCGCGAUGCCAAAGAAUUCAACAGCUGUGCCUGAUCAAGAAAAAAGAAGAGACAAGAACCAGCCAGAUAAGGACUGACUACUGCGUAUAACAAGAAAAUCAACGAGAAGCUGACUGUCAGUGUGCUAAAUUGCUAAUGAACUGAAACAGUGAAAGGUAUUUCCAUAUAAUUGUUCAUUUCUGGUAAAAUCGAUGAGGAACGACAACGCAUGUCGCAGCAUUUCCCAUAUUCAUUUGUUAGCAAAUUUGAUUUCGCCAACAGAACUUCCCUACCAAAAUGAUACAACAUUUGAUUUAAGGCAUUUGUAUUCAUAAGUACAGUUAACAACAUUUAAUAGUUCAGGGCUCAGAGCAAGGCUUAUGGAGCGCAAAAAUCUUUACUCUACAAUGAGAAGCAGGGCGGGUUACAGACAGAUCCCUAAGACCUUGAUACAUUUUUUUUUACAGAACUGAUCCUUCGUACAUGCUGGAGUAAAUUCCUCAUUAUCCAUUGGCAUUUACCUUUGUGUUGGCUAUCUACAGUGUUAUCAUGCUGAAAUUGCUGAUAGCACAACUGAUGCAUUCAGUAAAAAUGUAUGAAAUUACAACGCAGGAGUUCAUAUUCAGGGAAAAAUAAUGAUGAUCCCUCAAACUAAACCCAAAAUCUAGGACAUUCUCUCUGCCCACAUGGAUAUUAUGUUCCUCACCUCCCGUCUGAAAGUCAGAGAAAUUCUUGUUUGAGAGUAGCUAGUAGUUAUUCCUGAACCAAAAUUCUUAGUAGUAUUUUCAGAAACAAUAAUAAAUAGCCAGGCAAACAUCAAACUUCUUUUCGGAUCAUAAAGCCUUGCAGAGCAUGGUGUGUCACCCAGCAGUGCAUACCGCAUCCUCUAAAAAAAAAGGCAGUGCAUACUGCAUAUAACCAACUACAUCUGUUUAGUAACAGAAAUUGGUUUCUCAAGCAUGCAAGCGACAAAAAAUAUAGUAUCAGGACAUCACAACAGUACAGUAUCCCAGCAGAAUGAUCUAGCCCCAGACGCAGCGAAAAUGGACAAUGUGAUAGCAAUCGUCCAUUCAUUCUAUGAACUGCUCCUUCAGCACUCAACAGUCAUGGAAAUAUCAGAUGUAUGGCAGUGUAACAACAUGAGGUGGUGGAAGAGAGGAGAGUGGAGAGAGCAUGCUUUGUGAGAGCAAGUGGCUGAUUCGUGGGACCCACUGCACAGUGAACAAAACCGAUGGUUUCCCAGAAUGCUUCACGCCAGAGGGUCCUGGCUACACGGGCAAAAUGGAACAAAAAAUACAGUACAAAAUUAAAAAGGACCCCCUCACUGCCGUGUGGGACCCACACAGCCCGCGUCCUACAUUGACCCACCUGCCAGUCGGUGCAACUGCAGUACAGCAAACAUUUCUGACUGAAAACAGCACAGCAAGUUAGCAACAGUACAGUGUGAAUAUAUGUAUACAACGGGCUGGCGGGCUGAGCUCCAGACUUGUCACCGGGAGAAUGAGACAGCAUAGCAGAACUCUCCUAUACCAGGAGAAUAGAACAGCAUUUAACAUGGUUCUACAAGCCUGGGGGGUUAUAUUACACAGGCUAUCUGGCUCUAAAUUACACAUCUAGCAAUCUGAGCACGGCAAAACCGGAGCUGUGGCAGGGGGGUGUGGGGGAGGAGAUAUGGACCCAUGGGCCACGGUGCCUCACUGCCUCAGCUCCAACAUACUCGCAACAGUGAUACAAGCGUCACUUUUGCCAGAUUAAGAUUACAAGGAACAGAAUGCGCCAUCCAUCGUCGCUCAUAGGAAUCAUAUCUUAAAUAGGUACCGCAGGUCUUCCACGGUGAGCCGAGUCGUGUGGCCACCGGAUUUGUCUUCACCGAAUGCAGAGCUGACCAUAGCUCUCUUUUCCUCCUGUUGAAUGGGAACAUGCAUAAGCAAAAUGGCUGUAAAUUUUAUAAGUAAUAUUCCGUAUCAAGGUUGGUUCCAUGAUAUGAUGACUUAAAUCAGAACUAGAAAUAAUAAUAGUCCAGAAUUGUUAAGUAGAAUAUAGCUGUUUGGUUCCAAAGGUAGCGGAAAGUGCCAUGGUAAACAUGAGUACAGUCGCUCUGUUUUCUCCUUGCACUGAUCUCAGCUAAUUUGAGUUCUCCAAAGAUCACUUUACAAGAAUAAAGCAAUUUGGUUUCAUUCACUGUCAUGUUUCAUUUCUUAGGCAUAACACCACGCGACAAGCUAGACAUGAUUCGGCACUUAUCACACAAUUUCUCAUAAACAUUAAAUCAGAUUGGACAACCAACUAAACAUCAAGUCAUAUAGUAUCUUGAAAUAUCAUUGCAUGAUUAAACUGCAUCUGAUUGUAUUGCAUAAUUCUCAUCCUCUAUAAUAACAAUAACUAGGCGCGUGACACAUAAGUAGUUAAAAAUGCAUCUCAGCAAACUUUGAAUAGUUACCUGUAGAGCUAAAAUCCGAUCUUCCACUGUAUCUUUAACGGUCAAGCGAGAUACAGUAACAGGACGAGUCUGCCCAAUUCUAUGUGCUCUAUCCACUGCCUGGUCCUCAGCAUAAGGGUUCCACCAGAGAUCAAGGAGAAUUACGUGGCAAGCAGCAACCAUGUUGAGACCAAGAUUACCUGCUUUCAGUGACAUAAUCAUAACCCUGACCUGGAGAAAAGAGGGAAAAUGUUCUUUUUAGUACAGAUAUCGACUGAAAGUCUGGAGAUGUAAAAUAAAUAAGGCAUGAAAAGAACAAACAGAACAAAACUACCUCCGGGUCAGUGUUAAAAUCCUUCACUGCUUUAUCUCUUAAGUUGAGAGACAUCGUUCCAUCCAGUCUCCUGUACUGUAUAAGAUUGCUAUUCAGUGAAAGCUCCAGCAAAUCCAACAUGCCAGUCCAUUGGGAGAAGACAAUCGCUUUUGCUGGGGCUACUCGACUUCGAUUUGAUUCCGUAGUAUCACUUUCAGUAAGGGCAUCUCUGUUGAUGAUAGAAUUUAGUAUAUCAAUGGCUGCUUGUAUCUUGGAGGAGAUGUAGCUACUUUGACUGAUUGAAGAUGACUCAUUAUCUUCUGAUGAACUUGUUCCUGCAGUACUAGAUUUGCCAGAGAUGCAAAUCCUUAAUGCACCUGAUGAAAAUAAUGAUUCAAGACUUAAUGUUUUACUGCAAUUAGGGGCAGGACACAUAUUCUCAUCAGUCGUUAUCCGUUCAUGUAUACAUUGAUAGCAGAAAACAUGACCACAAAUCGUCACAACAGCGUCCUCAGGUGUGUCCUGCAAAACACAAUUUGGUUCCAAGCAUUAAAACUGAGAUGAAAGAACUUUCAAGUGCAACAUAGGUUUUUAAAAAAAAAUGGAAAUGGAACCUCGAUCGCAUUAGCAUGCUUACACAAUGCGCACGCAAAAAAGGAUAAAGAUCUUGACUAAAUGUGUGCUAUCUGGCUCAAUCAUCCUACUAGGUAAUAUUAGACCUGGACCCUGGACACCAAAUUUUGAGUACAGUCCAGCAUAUGUGUGUUUUAGCCAUUUCAAGCACUCAUCUUGUUAUCGAUUCAUGUCCAAUUAUGCAUACUUUUAAAAUGAACUAAAGUUUGGAUGAACUAGAUUCAUAAGAAAGUGGGUUCACUUGAAAUGCAGUUCUAAGAUUAUAUGUCAGUAUAGACUUUGAUUGUGCAAUUAUCUCAACAAAAUUAUAAACAUACAUCAUGUUGAAAAAGUAAACUAUAAAUAUUUGUGCAAAAAUAUGCUCAUAUGUGCUCUGUAAAAAUAGGAUAAUAGAUGCGCCUCAUUUGCAAAAGCAUAUACGAACUUCUUUUUUGCACGAUAGGAUAUUUGAAUAUUUUUUAUAACUUUAAAGUAAACAAGUAUACAUAUCCAAAUUUAGGUGGAGCUAGUGUAGAGAAUCUAUAUUUGGGGGCCAGACUUGCACAAAAUUUGUAUGAUUACACCCAUAAAGGGAAGAGGAGAUAGAAAACAGGUGAACAUCGAAAUAGUGGUGAGAGAUCAGAUUGCUUACAUUGCAUAAGGUACAAACAGCAGAUCCCACUUCCACUUUUGCAAGCAAAUCUAUCACAACUUCCUUAGGCAGUUGCUUUGCCAUUUCUAUAGAACCAUCACCUCCAUAUUCUGACUGAUUACCCUUCACAAGAAGAGGAUGAUCACAGGCUUGCCGAAGCCGCAACAACAUUAAAAGGAUAUUGGCAUAGUUUUGUUUGAGUGUCCCAGCCGCAGCAAAUGCCUGAAACGGGCAGGCAACACAUCAGCAUCCAGAUAUCUGCUUUCAAUAUUCCCAAUCACCAAAAUGAGAUCCAAAUAUUUAACUACUGAUCAAAAGAAAAUCCACCUCAAAACUACUAUACACUUACAUCUUUAGAUCUACAGUAAAUGAUGGGAUAAGUAUGGAUUAAUGGAUGAAAUAUAAAAGAAGCAUGAGUUCAUACGAUAAUUCAAAUAGGAAAAAAAAAGAGGGAAAAGCUAGCAAUAUGAACCCAAAUAAUGGCUCUAGAUACGGCAUUGAUGUUGAACACAUGUGAACUGUAGGACAAGGAAUAACCAAGAAGAUUUGAGAGAAGCUGUCCAGAAAAUAAUCAGACAAAGGAAGUCGAAUUCGAGGAUUUAACCAACCUUGAACUGUUGCCGAGAGCGUUCUUCCAGCGUCAAAUAAAAGGACCGCUCCUCAUGUGAGAAAUCUAUUUUAUUCAGAUUAAUUGUCUUUGGAGGUAAAUUUAUGAUUGGUUCCCCAUUAAUCAGAGUUUCUAUAUGAAAAAAAACAUCAUUCAAUCAUCAAUAGAGAUUUUAAUCAAAUGGAAGAUUUUACCAAGUCCACAUGCACUCAAUAAAAAUCGUUAUAACGUAGCAAAUGAACAUAAACGAUGAUGAUGAUGACAAAAACAAAGCCUUUUCGGUCACAAGCAAGUUGAGGUCAGCUAGAGAUAAGACAACAAUGCUUAGCAACGU
rnacentral:lncRNA from 1 species